rnacentral:rRNA from 1 species
GAUGAAACGCUAGCGGCAAGCUUAAUACAUGCAAGUCGUGGGGCAGCAUGAAGUAGCAAUACUUUGAUGGCGACCGGCAAACGGGUGCGGAACACGUACACAACCUCCCGAUAAGUGGGGAAUAGCCCAGAGAAAUUUGGAUUAAUACCCCAUAUCGCUGAGGAGUGAAAGGUGAAAACCGCCAAAAGAGGGGCUUGCGUCUGAUUAGCUAGUUGGUGGGGUAAAGGCCUACCAAGGCCACGAUCAGUAGCUGGUCUGAGAGGAUGAUCAACCACACUGGGACUGAGACACGGCCCAGACUCCUACGGGAGGCAGCAGUGAGGAAUUUUCCGCAAUGGGCGAAAGCCUGACGGAGCAAUGCCGCGUGAAGGAAGAAGGCCUGUGGGUCGUAAACUUCUUUUAUCAGAGAAGAAUUCUUGACGGUAUCUGAUGAAUAAGCCCCGGCUAACUCUGUG